UACGUAGGUGACAAGCGUUGUCCGGAUUUACUGGGCGUAAAGGGCGCGUAGGCGGCCACGCACGUCCGUUGUGAAAUCGCCCGGCUCAACUGGGCGGGGUCAGCGGAUACGGCGUGGCUAGAGCAAGCUAGGGGGCAAUGGAAUUCCCGGUGUAGUGGUGGAAUGCGUAGAUAUCAGGAGGAACACCAGUGGCGAAGGCGGUUGCCUGGGGCUUUGCUGACGCUGAUGCGCGAAAGCGUGGGGAGCGAUCCGG
rnacentral:rRNA from 1 species